rnacentral:rRNA from 1 species
GAGGGAAAGUUGAAAAGUACUCUGAAGAGAGAGUCAAAAGACCGUGAAACCGCUCAGAGUAUAAGCCAAUGGUGUCUGGAAGGCUGUUUGCUGGCUAUUGUUUGAUCAUUGGCAUGCAGUAGUGGGUUCUCCCAAGAAGGUGGCCGUUGCCCGCUUAUAGACGGGAACCGGGCUGGUUUGCGUUCCUGGCGUGCUUUGGUGCGAAGCCUGCGUUGGAGGGGGUAACUCUUCUUUCGUGGGUGGCUGUGCCGGGUGCGUUAAGUGGACGGGAGUACAUUGUCUGCACACGCCUAAGCAGCAACUCGAAGCCCACCACAGCACGUUGUAAGGUCACCCACAGGCGUUGCUGUUUCUGGUUGCGUCCUCGUACCACAUUCUUUGGAGGCAAAGUCGUGGAGUAACGCGGGGACGGGUAGAAGGGGCUCUCCCUGAGAG